AGAGUUUGAUCAUGGCUCAGAUUGAACGCUGGCGGCAUGCUUUACACAUGCAAGUCGAGCGGCAGCGCGGGGGCAACCCUGGCGGCGAGCGGCGAACGGGUGAGGAAUACAUCGGAACGUACCCCGGAGUGGGGGAUAACCCAGCGAAAGUUGGGCUAAUACCGCAUAUGCUCUGAGGAGGAAAGUGGGGGACCGCAAGGCCUCACGCUCUGGGAGCGGCCGAUGUCCGAUUAGCUUGUUGGUGGGGUAAUGGCCUACCAAGGCGACGAUCGGUAGCUGGUCUGAGAGGAUGAUCAGCCACACUGGGACUGAGACACGGCCCAGACUCCUACGGGAGGCAGCAGUGGGGAAUUUUGGACAAUGGGGGCAACCCUGAUCCAGCCAUGCCGCGUGCGGGAAGAAGGCCUUCGGGUUGUAAACCGCUUUUGGUCGGGAAGAAAAGGCGCCACCUAAUACGGGGCGUUCUUGACGGUACCGGCAGAAUAAGCACCGGCUAACUACGUGCCAGCAGCCGCGGUAAUACGUAGGGUGCGAGCGUUAAUCGGAAUUACUGGGCGUAAAGCGUGCGCAGGCGGUUUGUUAAGUCUGAUGUGAAAGCCCCGGGCUCAACCUGGGAAUGGCAUUGGAAACUGGCAGGCUCGAGUAUGGCAGAGGGGGGUGGAAUUCCGCGUGUAGCAGUGAAAUGCGUAGAGAUGCGGAGGAACACCGAUGGCGAAGGCAGCCCCCUGGGCCAAUACUGACGCUCAGGCACGAAAGCGUGGGGAGCAAACAGGAUUAGAUACCCUAGUAGUCC
rnacentral:rRNA from 1 species